GACGAACGCUGGCGGCGUGCUUAACACAUGCAAGUCGAACGGAAAGGCCUCUUUCGGGGGGUACUCGAGUGGCGAACGGGUGAGUAACACGUGAGUAACCUGCCCUUGACUUUGGGAUAACUUCAGGAAACUGGGGCUAAUACCGGAUAGGAGCUCCUGCUGCAUGGUGGGGGUUGGAAAGUUUCGGCGGUUGGGGAUGGACUCGCGGCUUAUCAGCUUGUUGGUGGGGUAGUGGCUUACCAAGGCUUUGACGGGUAGCCGGCCUGAGAGGGUGACCGGCAACAUGGGGACGGAGAGACGGCCGAGACCCCUGCGGGGGGAAGAAGGGGGGAAGAGGGAAAAAGGGGGGGAGGCCGGAUGCAGCACGCCCGUGGGGGGGAUGAGGGCCUUGGGGUUGAAAACCGUUUUGGCUCAGGAAGAGGCUUUGUGGGAGGGAGGGGGGUAAAGAAGCCCCGGCAAACUCGGUG
rnacentral:rRNA from 1 species